GCCCCUCCCUCUAAAAGCACUCUGUGUGGGGGAGAUGAGAGCCAGAGCAAAGCUCAGAGGAACCAACCUGGAGCUGGAGAUGGAUCUGGAUCUGGACCUGGAUCUGGAUCCAGCUGUGUGUCCUUCAGGAGUGACAGAUCAAAGGGUUUACCUCUUCUCUUCAAAGCCAUCAGUUCAGUAGUGGAACAGUUCCAACAGAGAUCUGGAUCUGGAUCCAGCUGUGUGUCCAACAGGAGUGACAGAUCAAAGCGUCAUAAUCCAGACUUCAAGUCCAUCAGUCCAACAGUGGAACAGUAAGUGUUUGUCAGAGUUAAAGGAGUCUGGAUAAUAGUUCAGAUGAUCAAUAGUUUUCAGAUGAAUGACUUGAGUUCUGGUUCAGUUCUUGAUCUCUCUGAUCAGACUCUCUUGGAUCAUCAUGUGUGAUCAGAUCUUUUCAGUUGAUCUUCUGAGAGUCUCUGAGAUCAGAGAUGUUGGAGAA